rnacentral:rRNA from 1 species
UUGACCUCGGAUCAGGUAGGGAUACCCGCUGAACUUAAGCAUAUCAAUAAGCGGAGGAAAAGAAACCAACAGGGAUUGCCUCAGUAACGGCGAGUGAAGCGGCAACAGCUCAAAUUUGAAAGCUGCCAACAGGCCGCAUUGUAAUUUGUAGAANAUCUUUGGGUGUCGGUCCAGUCUAAGUUCCUUGGAACAGGACUCAUAANAGGGUGAGAAUCCCNUAUGUGAUUGGUGCCGGUACCCNUGUAANGCUCUUUCAACAANNCAANUUUUUGGAAANCACCUCAAAAUGGNUGGUAAAUUUNACCUAAAGCUAAAUUUUGCCCG